AGACAUAUAGUAUAAUGGUAGUACAUAUCACUACGAAUGAUAAUAUAGGUGUUCGAUUCCCCUUAUGUCUA
rnacentral:tRNA from 1 species